UCUUUCCUUGUUGAUUCCUUGUUCUUUUAAGGAAGAUAGCAAUCAAAUCACAAUUUAUUUUCUUUCCUUCUACAUCCCAAUUUGAAUUCGAAUUCAAAAUUUUUUAUCUCAAAAAGAAUCCUAUUUUUGGCGCCCGGUUUUGCGUCCAAAAGUGUGGUGAGUCAGCGUGGUGGGUCAGCGUGCUUAGUCACCAACCAAUUGACUUAACUAACCGCGAAUGUUUCGGGCUGCUACAAUAAAUUCAGUUGUCUGAAUUCAGAGCCCUAAUUACCAGUUCCAAUUUAAUUAUCUAACCGCCAAACUUUUGGGCUGUUACAGUAAGUUUCAGGUGCCCAGUUUCAGGGCCCGAAAUUGUCACCUGCAAGCAAGGUCCGAAUCUAACUUCUCAGCAUAAGCACUUUCGAGCGCCCUAAUCAUGUUUCGGUGCUCGAAUUGCUGCAAAAUUCU
rnacentral:lncRNA from 1 species